UACAAAGGAAUUGACGGGGCCCGCACAAGCGGUGGAGCAUGUGGUUAAUUCGACGCAACGCGAAGAACCUUACCAGGGCUUGACAUCCCCUGACCGCGUAUGAAAGUACGUUUUCACCCUCGGGUGACAGGGAGACAGGUGGUGCAUGGUUGUCGUCAGCUCGUGUCGUGAGAUGUUGGGUUAAGUCCCGCAACGAGCGCAACCCCUACGUUUAGUUGCUAACAGGUGAAGCUGAGCACUCUAGACGAACUGCCGUUGACAAAACGGAGGAAGGUGGGGAUGACGUCAAAUCAUCAUGCCCCUUAUGUUCUGGGCUACACACGUGCUACAAUGGCCGGUACAGACGGAGGCGAAGCCGCGAGGCGGAGCAAAUCCGAAAAAGCCGGUCUCAGUUCGGAUUGCAGGCUGCAAUUCGCCUGCAUGAAGUCGGAAUCGCUAGUAAUCGCAGGUCAGCAUACUGCGGUGAAUACGUUCCCGGGCCUU
rnacentral:rRNA from 1 species